rnacentral:rRNA from 1 species
UACAGAGGUCCCAAGCGUUGUUCGGAUUCACUGGGCGUAAAGGGUGCGUAGGCGGGUCUUUAAGUCAGGGGUGAAAUCCUGGAGCUCAACUCCAGAACUGCCUUUGAUACUGAGGAUCUUGAGUUCGGGAGAGGUGAGUGGAACUGCGAGUGUAGAGGUGAAAUUCGUAGAUAUUCGCAAGAACACCAGUGGCGAAGGCGGCUCACGGGCCCGAUACUGACGCUGAGGCACGAAAGCGUGGGGAGCAAACAGG